rnacentral:rRNA from 1 species
ACUCCAGACUCCUACGGGAGGCAGCAGUGGGGAAUAUUGCACAAUGGGGGAAACCCUGAUGCAGCGACGCCGCGUGAGUGAAGAAGUAAUUCGUUAUGUAAAGCUCUAUCAGCAGGGAAGAAAAUGACGGUACCUGAGUAAGAAGCCCCGGCUAACUACGUGCCAGCAGCCGCGGUAAUACGUAGGGGGCAAGCGUUAUCCGGAUUUACUGGGUGUAAAGGGAGCGUAGACGGCAGUGCAAGUCUGGAGUGAAAGGCGGGGGCUCAACCCUGAGCCUGCAUUUGAAACUGUGUUUCUUGAGUACUGGAGAGGCAAUCGGAAUUCCGUGUGUAGCGGUGAAAUGCGUAGAUAUACGGAGGAACACCAGUGGCGAAGGCGGAUUGCUGGACAGUAACUGACGCUGAGGCGCGAAAGCGUGGGGAGCAAACAGGAUUAGAUACCCGGGUA